rnacentral:rRNA from 1 species
UACGUAGGGUGCAAGCGUUGUCCGGAAUUAUUGGGCGUAAAGAGCUCGUAGGCGGUUUGUCGCGUCUGCUGUGAAAUCCCGAGGCUCAACCUCGGGCCUGCAGUGGGUACGGGCAGACUGGAGUGCGGUAGGGGAGAAUGGAAUUCCUGGUGUAGCGGUGGAAUGCGCAGAUAUCAGGAGGAACACCGAUGGCGAAGGCAGUUCUCUGGGCCGUAACUGACGCUGAGGGGCGAAAGCGUGGGGAGCGAACAGG